rnacentral:rRNA from 1 species
AAGAAAAUAGUUCAGCACUAAGUCACUUUGUCUUUAAUGGCAAAUGUGAGAUGCAGUGUAUGGAAUGUUCAAUUCUAGUAUGAGAAAUUAGCGAUUUAAGUCCUUCUUAAAUGAGGCCAUUUACCCAAAGAGGGUGCUAGGCCCGUAUAACGUUAAUGAUUACUAGAGAACAAUUCCAAAGAGUCGUGUUGCUUGAUAGUGCAGCACUAAGUGGGUGGUAAACUCCAUCUAAAACUAAAUAUAACCAUGAGACCGAUAGUAAACAAGUACCGUGAGGGAAAGUUGAAAAGAACUCUGAAUAGAGAGUUAAAUAGUACGUGAAACUGCUUAGAGGUUAAGCCCGAUGAACCCGAAUAUCCAUUAUGGAAAAUUCAUCAUUAUGAAUUAUGAUAUUUAAUAAAUAUUAUAUUAAUGGUGUGCAUUUUUUCCAUAUAAGGACAUUGUAAUCUAUUAACAUUAAAAUUUAUCAUAAAAUCAUUGGCUUUAAAGUUUAUUCAAAUUAUUAUGCUUGCAUUUUAACAUAGAAUAAAUGCUUUUGAUUUGAUAAAUUGUUGAUAGAUUUAUAUUUAUAUAGUGCUUAAAUAUAUUUAUAUAUUUUAUAAUAGCAUAUAAAUCAAUAAUUUUUAUGUUUAUUAUAUGCACUUAUAUGAUUUACAAUGCGAAAGAUUCGGGAUACCUUCGGGACCCGUCUUGAAACACGGACCAAGGAGUCUAACAUAUUUGCAAGUUAUUGGGUUCUUUAAAAACCUAAUAGCGAAAUUAACAUGACAAAAUUAAUAUGGGAUUAGUUAUUAGUUCUAGAAUACUUAGACUAUUAAUUCAAUCCCGGGGCGUUCUAUACAGUUAUGUAUAAUAAUAUUUAUAUUAUUUAUACCUCUAACUAGAACGUACCUUGAGCAUAUAUGCUGUAACCCGAAAGAUGGUGAACUAUACUUGAUCAGGUUGAAGUCAGGGGAAACCCUGAUGGAAGACCGAAACAGUUCUGACGUGCAAAUCGAUUGUCAGAAUUGAGUAUAGGGGCGAAAGACCAAUCGAACCAUCUAGUAGCUGGUUCCCUCCGAAGUUUCCCUCAGGAUAGCUGGUGCAUUUAAAAUUUAUGUAAAAUAAUCUUAUCUGGUAAAGCGAAUGAUUAGAGGCCUUAGGGUCGAAACGAUCUUAACCUAUUCUCAAACUUUAAAUGGGUAAGAACCUCACCUUUCUUGGUAUGAAGGUUGUGGUUGUGAUAUAAUGUGCCCAGUGGGCCACUUUUGGUAAGCAGAACUGGCGCUGUGGGAUGAACCAAACGUAAUGUUACGGUGCCCAAAUUAACAACUCAUGCAGAUACCAUGAAAGGCGUUGGUUGCUUAAAACAGCAGGACGGUGGACAUGGAAGUCGCAAUCCGCUAAGGAGUGUGUAACAACUCACCUGCCGAAGCAACUAGCCCUUAAAAUGGAUGGCGCUUAAGUUGUAUACCUAUACAUUACCGCUAAAGUAAAUGGUUGAAAUUCAAUUUAUUUGGAUUUGUAAACUUUAAAACUUUAGUGAGUAGGAGGGUACAAUGGUGAGCGUAGAAGUGUUUGGCGUAAGCCUGCAUGGAGCCGCCAUUGGUACAGAUCUUGGUGGUAGUAGCAAAUAAUCGAAUGAGACCUUGGAGGACUGAAGUGGAGAAGGGUUUCGUGUGAACAGUGGUUGAUCACGAGUUAGUCGGUCCUAAGUUCAAGGCGAAAGCUGAAAAUUUUCAAGUUAUAUAUAUAAAUAAUGUAUAAAACACUUGAAAAUAAUUGAACGAAAGGGAAUACGGUUCCAAUUCCGUAACCUGUUGAGUAUCCGUUUGUUUAUUAAAUGUGGGCCUUGUGCUCAUCCUGGCAACAGGAACGACCAUAAAGAAGCCGUCGAGAGAUAUCGGAAGAGUUUUCUUUUCUGUUUUAUAGUCGUACUACCAUGGAAGUCUUUCGAAGAGAGAUAUGGUAGAUGGGCUAGAAGAGCAUGACAUUUACUGUUGUGUCGAUAUUUUCUCCUCGGACCUUGAAAAUUUAUGGUGGGGUCACGCAAACUUCUCAACAGGCCGUACCAAUAUCCGCAGCUGGUCUCCAAGGUGAAGAGUCUCUAGUC